GUUUUUCCUGAUGUAGAGAAUAUGGCCCCUUUAUUAUCACCAUGCCCCCACGUGACUGUUAGUGUGGGUGGGGUGUUAGUUCCCUGUUUGUUAGACACCGGCUCAAUGGUGUCGACGGUGACUGAAAGUUUUUAUUUGCAGAACUUCGAGCCAUGGGGUUUGGAAAAACUUCACUCCUGUCAUUGGUUGCAGCUUAAGGCUGCCAAUGGCCUAGAUAUCCCAUAUAUAGGCUAUUUAGAGCUGGACGUUGAAGUCUUUGGUAAAGUGAUUCCUAAACGUGGCGUGCUCAUAGUUAAAGAUUCUCUAGGUACUCCUUCUCAGGUCGCUGGUGUUUUGGGCAUGAAUGUUAUUCGAGAAUGCUAUCAUGACUUGUUUGGACAGUAUGGACAGACUCUCUUUGAGACCGCUUUAGUGCAGCAGGCCCCUAAUUCUUGGCAACAAGCCUUACAGAAGUGCCAUCAAGCCCAAGUUAAUGCCCCUUUAGAUUCUUCAGCCCGUGUUCGGGUUCGAGGGGGCAGGUGUAUCUGUGUACCAGGUGGCACCAUGAAGUUUAUUCCUGCUACUUGUUCUCAGCAAUAUACUGGGUUGACUGUAGUAUUUGAGCCUUCGAGGGGUGGGCUAGCAGCUGGUCUUUUGACCUCCCCUGCCAUUGUCAAGGUAGUUCGUGGCCAGGUUUAUGUUCCAGUCAUUAAUGUGGGAGUAGUGGAUGUUAACCUUUAUGCACGGACUGUUCUUGGUGCUAUUAGUCCAGUAACUGUGGUGAGUUUACCCCCUGGUGUAGAGGAUGUCCCCUUGAGUGUGCAGGCCACUGUUUCUUCCCAGAUGACUGUAGGUUCUCUACAAGACAAGAUAGAUUCUGUUGAUCUGUCUCUGAUGACCCCUGAAGAACAGUGUCAAGUUAGGGCUCUACUAUUUAAAUACUCUUCUGUGUUUUCAGCACAUGAUAGCGAUCUGGGCUGUACUACUUUGAUAACACAUGACAUUCCUUUGACUGAUGAGGUUCCUGUUAGGCAGCGUUAUAGACGCAUUCCUCCCUCAGAAUAUGAAGCCGUUAAGGCUCAUAUUAAUCAGUUGCUGGAAACUCAAAUUAUAAGAGAAAGUAGCAGCCCUUAUGCUUCU
ensembl:lncRNA